rnacentral:piRNA from 1 species
UGCCUUUCUGUUGUAAUUGAUGCCAAUAA